AAAUUGAAGAGUUUGAUCAUGGCUCAGAUUGAACGCUGGCGGCAGGCCUAACACAUGCAAGUCGAACGGUAACAGGAAGCAGCUUGCUGCUUUGCUGACGAGUGGCGGACGGGUGAGUAAUGUCUGGGAAACUGCCUGAUGGAGGGGGAUAACUACUGGAAACGGUAGCUAAUACCGCAUAACGUCGCAAGACCAAAGAGGGGGACCUUCGGGCCUCUUGCCAUCGGAUGUGCCCAGAUGGGAUUAGCUAGUAGGUGGGGUAAAGGCUCACCUAGGCGACGAUCCCUAGCUGGUCUGAGAGGAUGACCAGCCACACUGGAACUGAGACACGGUCCAGACUCCUACGGGAGGCAGCAGUGGGGAAUAUUGCACAAUGGGCGCAAGCCUGAUGCAGCCAUGCCGCGUGUAUGAAGAAGGCCUUCGGGUUGUAAAGUACUUUCAGCGGGGAGGAAGAGAGUAAAGUUAAUACCUUU
rnacentral:rRNA from 1 species